CAACAGGGAUUGCCCCAGUAACGGCGAGUGAAGCGGCAACAGCUCAAAUUUGAAAUCUGGCUCUCGGGCCCGAGUUGUAAUUUGUAGAGGAUGCUUUUGGUGAGGUGCCUUCCGAGUUCCCUGGAACGGGACGCCACAGAGGGUGAGAGCCCCGUCUGGUUGGACACCGAGCCUCUGUAAAGCUCCUUCGACGAGUCGAGUAGUUUGGGAAUGCUGCUCUAAAUGGGAGGUAUAUGUCUUCUAAAGCUAAAUACCGGCCAGAGACCGAUAGCGCACAAGUAGAGUGAUCGAAAGAUGAAAAGAACUUUGAAAAGAGAGUUAAACAGUACGUGAAAUUGUUGAAAGGGAAGCGCUUGUGACCAGACUUGGGCUUGGUUGAUCAUCCGGGGUUCUCCCCGGUGCACUCUUCCGGCUCAGGCCAGCAUCAGUUCGCCCUGGGGGAUAAAGGCAGCGGGAAUGUGGCUCUCUCCGGGGAGUGUUA
rnacentral:misc_RNA from 1 species